AACUCUGAGUUGUGGAUCACUUGGCUCGUGCAUUGAUGAAGAAUGCAGCUAGCUGUGAGAAUAAUUUGAAUUGCAGGACACAUUGAUCAUCGACACUUCAAACGCACUUUGCUGCCCUGGGUUACUCCCAGGGCUACACCUGUCUGAGAGUCG